rnacentral:lncRNA from 1 species
AAGGAAAAAGGAGCAACUGCAAAUUCACAUUUAGUUGGUUCGCGGAGAGGAGCUAUACGAAGGGAACAUACAUCUUUUCAUUUUGGUCGCGGUGGCGCCUGGGUGACUUUGCAUGUACAUCGACUAUUCCAUUCGUACCUACAACCUCCACCAGCAUAGUACUAAGUAACUUUACCCACCAAAGCUUAGGCGGACGAAAAUCAGCUAUUAUUUUGUCUCCACUAGAAUUUGAACCCUGAUCUCCUAUGAAUACCCGUUUGAUUGAAUGCUAACCUACACG